UACGAAGGGUGCAAGCGUUAUUCGGAUUGAUUGGGCGUAAAGCGUCCGCAGGUGGCAAUGUAAGUCUGCUGUUAAAGAGUCUAGCUCAACUAGAUACAAGCAGUGGAAACUACAUAGCUAGAGUACGUUCGGGGCAGAGGGAAUUCCUGGUGUAGCGGUGAAAUGCGUAGAGAUCAGGAAGAACACCGGUGGCGAAGGCGCUCUGCUAGGCCGUAACUGACACUGAGGGACGAAAGCUAGGGGAGCGAAUGGG
rnacentral:rRNA from 1 species